ACCUGAGAGAGCUCAAUCACUAGAGCCUGAGACUCUUAAUAUCCGGGCUGUGGGUUCGAACCCCACAUUGGGCA